rnacentral:tRNA from 1 species
GCACUACUAGCUCAGUCGGUUAGAGCAUGGUGCUGAUAACACCAAGGUCAUGGGUUCGAUCUCCGUUCAGUCCC